UACGUAGGUGGCGAGCGUUGUCCGGAUUUACUGGGCGUAAAGAGCGCGCAGGCGGUCGUACAAGUCGCGUGUGAAAGCCCCCGGCUCAACUGGGGAGGUCACGCGAUACUGUUCGACUCGAAGGCAGGAGAGGGAAGUGGAAUUCCCGGUGUAGUGGUGAAAUGCGUAGAUAUCGGGAGGAACACCAGUGGCGAAGGCGACUUCCUGGCCUGUUCUUGACGCUGAGGCGCGAAGCUAAGGGGAGC
rnacentral:rRNA from 1 species